GCNACCCCAGGACGGGCGAGGCCACCCGCCGAGUUUAAGCAU
rnacentral:rRNA from 1 species